rnacentral:tRNA from 1 species
GUAGGAACAGCUCAGCAGUUAAGAGCACUGACGUCUCUUCCAGAGGACCUGGGUUCAAUUCCCAGCACCCACA